rnacentral:misc_RNA from 1 species
GCACAGAUGACAAUUUUUCCCAUUGCUAGAGCUUCUGCUGUGGUAGUGCAAAGAACAUCCGUCGUGCUAGGGUUUAGAAAUAUCUUGUAGUCAUGAAAUACUGGGUCAGCAUGGUCUCGGCCGGGGUAAACUGAUAUGUCGAGUUUCAGCUUUCCAGCAUAUUGCUUUACUUGAUCAUGAUCUUCUCCGGUUCCAUACAGAUCCACUUUAAUCCCA